AUUGAACGCUGGCGGCAUGCCUUACACAUGCAAGUCGAACGGCAGCGCGGGGCAACCUGGCGGCGAGUGGCGAACGGGUGAGUAAUAUAUCGGAACGUGCCCUGGAGUGGGGGAUAACGUAGCGAAAGUUACGCUAAUACCGCAUACGAUCCAAGGAUGAAAGCAGGGGACCUUCGGGCCUUGUGCUCCUGGAGCGGCCGAUAUCUGAUUAGCUAGUUGGUGGGGUAAAAGCCUACCAAGGCGACGAUCAGUAGCUGGUCUGAGAGGACGACCAGCCACACUGGAACUGAGACACGGUCCAGACUCCUACGGGAGGCAGCAGUGGGGAAUUUUGGACAAUGGGGGCAACCCUGAUCCAGCAAUGCCGCGUGUGUGAAGAAGGCCUUGGUUGUAAGCACUUUGUCAGGAACGAAACGGUUAGAGGUU
rnacentral:rRNA from 1 species